rnacentral:rRNA from 1 species
AGCGGAGUAACCGUGAAACUGCGGAGGGCUCAUUAAAUCAGUUAUAAUUUAAGUGAACGAUUCGAGGCGGAUAACCGUAGUAAUUCUAGGGCUAAUACGUACCGAAAAGUGGUGGCGCAAGCCACCACGCUGUGUCUAUCGAGCAUUUAUACCGUAGCAAUACGCGUAAUCUUGACUGAAAGACACUAGCUUACCGCAUAGGCUAGACCUGGCGGUGUUACAUUCAAAUUUCUUCCCUAUCAACUCAUACCAAAGUGUAGUGUACUUGGUAGGUUAUUACGGGUGACGGGGAAUUAGGGUUCGAUUCCGGAGAGGGUGCCUGAGAAAUGGCAACUACUUCCAAGGAAGGCAGCAGGCGCGCAAAUUACCCAAUCUCAAUACGAGGAGGUAGUGACGAUAAUUACUGAUGGGGCGAUAUUCGCCCCAAUUGGAAUGAGUUGAUUUUAAGGCGAUUAGCGAGUAACAAUUAGAGGGCAAGUCUGGUGCCAGCAGCCGCGGUAAUUCCAGCUCUAAUAGCGUAUACUAAAGUUGUUGUGGUUAAAACGCUCGUAGUUCAA